rnacentral:rRNA from 1 species
UACGUAGGUGGCGAGCGUUGUCCGGAAUUACUGGGCGUAAAGGGCGUGUAGGCGGCUUUUUAAGUCAGAUGUGAAAACCCUGGGCUUACCCCAGGAACUGCAUUUGAAACUGGAAGGCUUGAGGACCGGAGAGGGCAGUGGAAUUCCCAGUGUAGCGGUGAAAUGCGUAGAGAUUGGGAGGAACACCAGUGGCGAAGGCGACUGCCUGGACGGCACCUGACGCUGAGGCGCGAAAGCGUGGGGAGCAAACAGG